GCAUAGCUCAGUCGCUUAGAGCGUGGUGCUGAUAAGACCAAGGUUGCAGGUUCGAUCCCCAUCUGCAACA